AUGAGGAUGGCGCCGGAGUGGCCGGCCACCGCCGCAGCACGCGCCGGAGCACCCAGAUCCAGGCAAGCGAGCAACUCCGAGGUUUGCGAGGUGCUGGAUUCCCGCCAUGGCCGCGUCCUCCUCACCAGCUGGGACAUCGUCGACGGCUGGGUGCGCGAAGAGGUUGUUGUGUGUGAUCCUAUCUCCAGCAAGCAGCAGCACCGCGUGUCCGUUCCAUUGGAGUUGAUGAGCAUUGGUGGCUUGGACAACGGGGCGGUGUUCUGCGCCGCCUCCGCCGCCCAUGAUCAUGUCCAUGGUAGCUGCCACUCAUGCCCCUUCAAGGUGGUCUUGUUGUCCUACGGAAACUAUAAGAAUCCAUACGCCUGCGUUUAUUCCUCUGAGACUGACACAUGGGGUGAUAUUAUCUCAACAGAGGCUCCACAUGAUACUCCUUUUGGUGUUUGCCCUAGCACCCUCAUAGGUAAUGCCCUUUACUGGCCGGCUAAGCAUAAGGGAGACAGCAUUCUUCAGUUUGAAUUGGGCGCGCAGAAUCUUGCCGUCAUCAAGGGGCCUCUUGGUAUGAACAUGAAUGAUUUCGACGACUUUCAUAUCAUUCAGGCAGAGGAUGGCGCGGUUGGUGUUGCUGCGUUGUCUCACCUUGAGCUUCAAAUGUGGGACAGAAAGGUUGAUUGUCAAGGUGUUGCCAUAUGGUUGUUGCAGAAGACUGUUUCAUUGCGUAAACUUCUCAAGGUCCCUCCUCGGACUGAGGGGAGUUAUGAAUCGCUCAAAGUGGUGGGGUAUGAUGAGGAUACUAAUGUAAUCUUAUUAGCUACGAAUGACGGUGUCUAUAUGGUUUAG
rnacentral:rRNA from 1 species